rnacentral:rRNA from 1 species
GACGAACGCUGGCGGUGUGCUUAACACAUGCAAGUCGAACGGGAAGGCCCUGCUUUUGUGGGGUGCUCGAGUGGCGAACGGGUGAGUAACACGUGAGUAACCUGCCCUUGACUUUGGGAUAACUUCAGGAAACUGGGGCUAAUACCGGAUAGGAGCUCCUGCUGCAUGGUGGGGGUUGGAAAGUUUCGGCGGUUGGGGAUGGACUCGCGGCUUAUCAGCUUGUUGGUGGGGUAGUGGCUUACCAAGGCUUUGACGGGUAGCCGGCCUGAGAGGGUGACCGGCCACAUUGGGACUGAGAUACGGCCCAGACUCCUACGGGAGGCAGCAGUGGGGAAUAUUGCACAAUGGGCGGAAGCCUGAUGCAGCAACGCCGCGUGCGGGAUGACGGCCUUCGGGUUGUAAACCGCUUUCGCCUGUGACGAAGCGUGAGUGACGGUAAUGGGUAAAGAAGCACCGGCUAACUACGUGCCAGCAGCCGCGGUGAUACGCAAGGUGCGAGCGUUGUCCGGAUUUAUUGGGCGUAAAAGGCUCGUACGUGGUUGAUUCCCUCCGAAGUGUAAUCUUGGGGCUUAACCCUGAGCGUGCUUUCGAUACGGGUUGACUUGAGGAAGGUAGGGGAGAAUGGAAUUCCUGGUGGAGCGGUGGAAUGCGCAGAUAUCAGGAGGAACACCAGUGGCGAAGGCGGUUCUCUGGGCCUUUCCUGACGCUGAGGAGCGAAAGCGUGGGGAGCGAACAGGCUUAGAUACCCUGGUAGUCCACGCUGUAAACGGUGGGUACUAGGUGUGGGGUCCAUUCCACGGGUUCCGUGCCGUAGCUAACGCUUUAAGUACCCCGCCUGGGGAGUACGGCCGCAAGGCUAAAACUCAAAGGAAUUGACGGGGCCCCGCACAAGCGGCGGAGCAUGCGGAUUAAUUCGAUGCAACGCGUAGAACCUUACCUGGGUUUGACAUGGAUCGGGAGUGCUCAGAGAUGGGUGUGCCUCUUUUGGGGUCGGUUCACAGGUGGUGCAUGGCUGUCGUCAGCUCGUGUCGUGAGAUGUUGGGUUAAGUCCCGCAACGAGCGCAACCCUUGUUCACUGUUGCCAGCACGUUAUGGUGGGGACUCAGUGGAGACCGCCGGGGUCAACUCGGAGGAAGGUGGGGAUGACGUCAAGUCAUCAUGCCCCUUAUGUCCAGGGCUUCACGCAUGCUACAAUGGCUGGUACAGAGAGUGGCGAGCCUGUGAGGGUGAGCGAAUCUCGGAAAGCCGGUCUCAGUUCGGAUUGGGGUCUGCAACUCGACCUCAUGAAGUCGGAGUCGCUAGUAAUCGCAGAUCAGCAACGCUGCGGUGAAUACGUUCCCGGGGCU